UACGAAGGGGGCUAGCGUUACUCGGAUUUACUGGGCGUAAAGGGCGCGUAGGCGGUCAGCACAAGUCAGUUGUGAAAUCUCCGGGCUUAACUCGGAAAGGUCAACUGAUACUGUGCGACUAGAGUGCAGAAGGGGCAACUGGAAUUCUCGGUGUAGCGGUGAAAUGCGUAGAGAUGUGGAGGAACACCAGUGGCGAAGGCGACUCUUUGGCCUGUAACUGACGCUGAGGCGCGAAAGCGUGGGGAGCAAACAGG
rnacentral:rRNA from 1 species